rnacentral:lncRNA from 1 species
UAGCAAUCAUAUCAUUUGUUUGGUUGAUAUAUGUUGAUUUUAGUUUUAUAUUUUAUCAAUAAACAAAAAAAACAUGGCAUAAAAGAAUUUGAAUUCAACAAAAAUGCCAUUAUGUAAAGUUUAUAGAAGUCAGUUGGAUAGCCACAGUGGAAGCAUAUUGUGCUGCUAUCCUGAAGGAUCUUUCAGGACAGAAACAGUGGGCUUAAUUUCCAGGUUCCAUAUCUCAAAACUUUUUCAGGAAGGGUCCAAAGCAAGUCCAUUGAACUUCAUCUUCUACCUGAUGGCCGAUAUCAACAAAGAUGUGAGUGGCAUCUAAUUUUGCUGAUGGGUCUUUCUACUUUGUUUUGAUUUGGUUUCCUAUAAACAUUUUAUCUUCAUUAAACUACAGUAUAAUAAGAAAUCUCUAUGGUAGGCAUUAGGUCUAUUUAGUAUCCAUCAGAUAAGAAAUGACAUUAAUUAAAUGUUUUUGAUAUACUGGAUCACAAAUAUAUAAUGCUGACAAAUGGAGCUUUAAAACAUCCUGAAGAACUACAUGAAAAAAGUUCAUUGAAAACUAAGCAUCAUUAUUUGUCUAUGGAUCAGUGCAUGAUAGUAUUAACUUACAACUUAGAGAGGUUUCAUAUUCAAU